AUUCUAGUCAGCCCCCUUCAGUCCCUGCACAGACUCACGGAUUGCAGCCAAGAGCAAUUUCCCCCUCGAAAUGGGGGAAGUGGCAGGAUGUGGCAGGACCCAGCCAAGAACGGAAGGAAAGGGGAAAUGAAUACAUGGAAGAUGGUCUCUGGAUGAAGCAGUGAAAGUAGAAAUGAAGUGAUGAAGACCUUUCAUCACGGAGCACUGUAGCGGAGCAGCAAGAUUAAGAGCUGGGCUAUGACGUAAACCUUCCUGGAUCUAAACCAAACAACUCAUACAACCAGCCGUACCACCUUCGGCAAGCACCAAAACACAGCCUGGCCACCUGCAAAGAUCCAUGUGACCUCCAGGAACAAGACGUAGAAGGCAAUGCCUUGGACUUGAAGUUUCAUGAUACAAGUUCCACUAUUAGCUCUUAUUAAGUGUUGCUUACCAGUUUUGUGGCCUAGGAUUCAGUGUGUGGCUUAGCUGACAGUAUACACUCAGCCCAGCACCACUCCCAGUAUACAGUCAAUAUACCGUGUCAGCUGGAUCUACAAUCUCUCAAGAUGUCAGCUGAAUCUACAGUUCAGCUGGGAUAAGAGCUGAAUCCCACACUCACUCUCUGGUUGUUGGCAGGAUUCGAGUUCUUGGCAACUGCUGGUGCACCACUCCCAUGGCAUCUGGCUUCGUCAAACUGAACAGGCAAGAGAGAGCAAGAGAAUGCCAGCAAGACAGAAGCCACAGUUUUUUGUUAACUAAUUUCAGAAGAGAUAUCUUGUCACCUUUGAUGGAUUCUGUUCAUUAGAAGCAAGUCACUAAGCCCAGCCCACACUCAGGGAGAGGAGAUUAUGCAUGAAAAGGAGAAGGUGGGGAUCUUUGAAUGUCAUCUUAGGAGUGGGCCUUGCCGCCCCAUGACUGGCUGGGGGUGUGGAGUACGUACAGUGGAAUCACACAGAAGUAAAUGACACUCUUCUUCUGUGACACACAAACCAUAUUUCCUUAGACAAUUUAUCUCUGAGUCUCUGUUCUUCCACUAUAAGACCGAGGUAAUAACACCUACCUUGCAGAGCAUAUGAAAAGAUUAAAUCACAUAACAAAGUGAGCACAGUACUUAGCAUGCAGUACAGACUCAACAAGAGUUAUUAUUUUCCGUCUUACUUGCAUACCAAUCUAUCAAACUAGAAAUCAAUACUUUGCAAACCACAAAGCUCUGUGCAAAGGGAACAGCAUCCAGAAAUGAUGUUGCAAAGAAAAAAAAACAGCACUGCAAUGAAAAUAAUAUUUAGCCCUUUGUGCUUCACAAAGUGUUUUUGCCUGCUUUAUUUUAGUUGAUCCUCACAAGCUCUGUGAUGGUAGUUUGGGGCUUAUCUAGACUCAUAUUUGUAAAAUGGGAAAGCUAAGAAACAAGACGGUGAAAUGAUUUACCUGGGAUUGCCCAAGAAAUCAGUAUAUCAGGAAAGGGUCUCUGACCAGAUGGGGAAAGGAUUAGGGAUGGCCAAUGGUGUCCACAGGCUGAAGCCAGAAGUACCCGUGAGGCAGGGGACCCAUGCUCAGGAACCCACAGGGUCCCCCACCCCACAGGGUGGAGCAAACCCAUGAGCCAACCGCCAGGACGCAAGCAGCAGUCAGGGCUUGCCCAGACUAGAGCUCAGAGCAAACAGCUGAUGGAAAAAAUGCAGUUAGGAAAUGACCAUGUCUCGAGUGCCGAAGAGCAAGGCACGGGACGGCCAGGCGAACAGGCGGUCAGGGGCCCUGAAGCAAGAAGCAGCGAAGGGGAUUUCCAGCAGAGGGAACGUUCAAGUGAAGCUUUGAUGGCCCAGCAGGGAGAAGGGGGGAGCCGCCAGGAGCACGGAGCUCACGUCUGGGGGCACUGGUGCGUGCAGAGGGGCACCAUAGGCUGAGGGCUUCAGGAAGGAUACCCCCUUAAACUGAGUUACCAAGGAGCCAGACCCUUCCCUGGCGGUCACCUAGUUCUGGAGUAAAUUGCUUUCAAGCAGGGGGAUGAUAAGAUCAGAUCCAGUGAUUUUAGAAAAAUCACUUGGAGUCAGAGGAAAGGAUAGAAUAAAGGUGGUAAGAUUUCAAACAAAGUAAUUUAUUCCCAGAGAAGGUCCUGAGAAAAGAGCCUAAUCAAAACAAUCUAAUUUUAUGCACAAUUUUCCAUGUAGGCUUUAUACCUGGUUCCAUUUUUAACCUACUGUUAGUGAUUGCCGUUACAGACACAGCUGUUUUACGCUGGAAACUGCUUUAAUUGGUACCCUGGAUUAUGAACCUUCCUCAGAAUGUGAGCUAUUGUCAUUACUUUCACUUAUUCACUAGCCUCCUAGAGAUACACUGUACUGGGAUUUGACGACAUUAUAUUUUUUCUGUCAUUUACAGUUGAGUUUAUAUUCUAUUUCAGAAAUGGUAACUGAAAAAUAUUUUGUUUUUAUGGAAAUAAUGAGCCAUAGAAGAAUUUUUUAUCGUUUGUUGAUGGCAUCUGCCAGUCUGCUUGGCAGAACAUGACAAUAAA